rnacentral:rRNA from 1 species
UAGUCAUAUGCUUGUCUCAAAGAUUAAGCCAUGCAUGUCUAAGUAUACGCAAAUUAUACUGUGAAACUGCGAAUGGCUCAUUAAAUCAGUUAUAGUUUAUUUGAUGUUUCUUGCUACAUGGAUAACUGUGGUAAUUCUAGAGCUAAUACAUGCGUAAAAAGCCCCGACUUCUGGAAGGGGUGUAUUUAUUAGAUAAAAACCAUCCUCCUCGGAGUUUGGUGAUUCAUAAUAACUUCUCGAAUCGCACGGCCUUGUGCUGGCGAUGCUUCACUCAAAUAUCUGCCCUAUCAACUGUCGAUGGUAGGAUAGAGGCCUACCAUGGUUGCAACGGGUAACGGGGAAUAAGGGUUCGAUUCCGGAGAGGGAGCCUGAGAAACGGCUACCACAUCCAAGGAAGGCAGCAGGCGCGCAAAUUACCCACUCCCGACCCGGGGAGGUAGUGACGAAAAAUAACAAUACAGGACUCUUUCGAGGCCCUGUAAUUGGAAUGAGUCCACUUUUAAUCCUUUAACGAGGAUCCAUU